rnacentral:rRNA from 1 species
AUGGAGGUAGCAGGGAAAUCGGGAUUAUACUUUAUGGAUGUGGACUUUUGGGAUAAUGAUGAUGGGUUUUCUACUGGGAAUUAUACUAUGAGGAAUGGUGACAUAUUUAUUUUGUCUAGCAUAAAACCUGAAUCUGUAGAGGACUUAAACCACCAUGGCAUGACAUACUGCUUGGCAAUGGUUACUGAGGUUUUUAUGGAUGAUGAAUACCAGAAGGGCUUCAGAGUCAAAGUUGCAAAGAAUGUUGGUUUGCAAGAAGACUUAAACAAACUGAAGCAUGCAAUAUUUCUCAACAAUAUCACGACAAACAUGCGGAUAUGGAAAGCACUUACCUUUGAUUGCCACAUGGAUAACAAUUUCACAGUAAUCAAGUCCCUCUUAGCCCCCACAAAUCUGGGUGAGGAUGUUUGUGGUGUCCGUAUUAAACAGGAUUAG